GUCCUAAAGUGUCCCUGAUUGGCCAUUUCGGUCUUCUCUUUGGGGUCUAGCCAGUGAUAAAUGGAAGCCCUGCGAAAAUCCGUGAGGUGAGCACGUGAUAGCCGCUGACUCUAGAAUGAACAGUAUUAACCCCACUGGUUUGGCGCAUGAUGAAAUGAAGGACAGAUCCAUUGUGUUUUCAGUAAAGGACAGGAUGAGGAUUCCAGAAAAGUGAUGAGGAACUAAUUUAGGGAAACAUGGCUUCAUCGCAGGAAACAGGCAAGAAUCCCAAAUGCAGGUGGAAAAUUUUACUGGGCACCGAUGACUCAGAAGAGUUCAUUGUGGUUAAUAGAAGUAAAGCCAGAAGUCACCAUAGAUCAUCUACUGACCACAUGGGAAAAGCUGAAAUAAAAUUGAUAAC